rnacentral:tRNA from 1 species
GGGCUCAUAGUUUAAUGGAUAGAAUGACAGGCUUCGGACCUGUAGAUCGGGGUUCAAUUCCUCGUGGGCCCA